CGAAAAAAUACAUGUGUAAGAAUUCAUUAAACAUUUUUGUUUCGCUUUUAGAAAUACUGAUUAGAAUGAAAAUAUUUUUCUAGGAAAUGACUUGGUAAGAUUUUCCUUGUAACAUCGAACUCCUGGGUUGUGCAAUUCGAGUAACUUGUUCCUUGUGCGACCACAAAAUGGGCUGGCCUAAAAACGAAUGGGAAAAAACCGGCUACCAAUUUUUUCCUUCUUUUUCUGGAGCAGGCGCCUCUUUGCAGCUGCACGUACAUCUGUGACGUCAGAGGAGCGAAGUUGCCUCCCAUGUCUUUUCCAUAUCCUGUUUGGGUUGUUUCCUUUUUUAUUAUUUUAUUCAUUUCUUUUUCCGCUUUCGUCUUUCCCGGAGUUUUCUUUUACUUUUUUUUCCCUUCCCCUUUUUUUGGCGUUGGUUUUCGACUCGACUGGAAGAUAGUCAGUUUUAACGUCUGCUUCGUUGCCUUGUUAAUCUGCCAGACGUUUCAUAACAACUGGAUUUAAUUGCUCUGAAGUGACAAGUUUAUGCUAUCAAGUUUCAAGCAAUAGUGCAGACAGCAGUAGUGAAAAAGGAUUUUUUAUUCAAAAGGUAUCAACAUCCAAUCUGGCCAGCUUAUUGAGGGAAGAUGAAAAUAUUUCAUAUCCUUAAGUGUUUAUUGCUGCCAUCAAUGAAGCUGAUGAUGUCCAGACAUUACAAAAUAUUAAGCAAAUUGUCUCUGAAUUAGCAAACAGUGUGUGUCCUUAUUGUUCAAAACAAUUUCGUCGGAAACAGGAUUUGAAAAGA